UAGGAUCCUGUCAAGAAGACAUGGUAAACCUCAUCAUGAUCAAGAAUGAGACUUUGCUUGCAUCCAGGCUUCCCAAAAGUUGUUUGAUAGUAUACAGGCAUGAGAUGGUGUGACUCUAACUCAUUAGAUGCCUUCGUCUUUUCAGUCAUCAUGUGAUGGAAAGAAAGCUAUCAACUUCAUUCCUGAGACUUCCUGCAACACAGAUCCAUCUAAACUUUUACUUCAUUGGAGGGUCCUUCCUGACCCAUGCAACUCAACAAAAAACUCUCACAGUUUUUAUAUGCUUUGUUGGGGAUUAACCCAUCUUGCAUUGCAUUGCUAGCUUAGUAUGUCUAGCAUGGGCAUGCCUGCUGAAGUUUGGAACUUCCCAUCAAGGAAACAGGAAAAUGCCAUUGGCAAUGAGCUGAAGACUGAUUUACUCUACCAGUUUGGAACAUCUGUUAUUGCUGCUACUACGGUUUCUAUCACUGUUUGAUGCUGGGACUCUUAAGCUCCAACCACGUUUUCACCGAGCUGAGUCGCCUUCUUAUCACCCCUUUCUGGAGCAGCAGGACAUCUGGGGAUGAGAAGAUGGAGAGAUCAUCCUUAUAUAAUGUUGCAGUCUGGAAGCAUCACUCUCAAAAAGCCAUUGUAGAGAAUCCAAGCCGAGUUUAAGAGUGCUGUGGAAAUACACUGCUGCUACUGCUGUUUCUAUUACUGUUUGAUGCUGGGACUCUUAUGCUCCAACCACGUUUUCACCCAGCUGAGUCGCCUUCGUAUCACGCCUUUCCAGUUUUGAUAGACUAGAAAAAUGACAAGACUCCAAGUCCUUGAAGAGGAGGAAAAGUGUGAAGAAAACAAAAAAGGGAGAUUUAUGUCUGCUUCACCAUUUUGCCCAAGACUUGACCUGUCAUACACUGAAGCUCAGAGAGGAAGAAAGGACCGUGUGAGAGAAGAAGGGAACAGCCUUUCAUCCAUAGGAGAAGUUCGUCUAUGACAAAGCCACUAGCUCCAUGUGGCCGCUGAGCACUCAAAAUGUGGCCAGUCUGAAUUGAGAUAUGUUGUUAGUAUAAAGUCCACAUCGGCUUUUUGAGCACUUUGUAUGAGAAAAAAGAAUACCAAAUAUCUCCUUAAUAAUUGUUACAUUGAUUAUAUGUUGAACUGAUAACAUUAUGGAUAUAUUGGAUUAAAUAAAAUAAAUUAUUAAAAUCAAAUAAAAAAUAAAA
rnacentral:lncRNA from 1 species